UACGUAGGGUGCAAGCGUUAAUCGGAAUUACUGGGCGUAAAGCGUGCGCAGGCGGUUUUGUAAGUCAGAUGUGAAAUCCCCGGGCUUAACCUGGGAACUGCGUUUGAAACUACAAGGCUAGAGUGUGGCAGAGGGGGGGUGGAAUUCCACGUGUAGCAGUGAAAUGCGUAGAGAUGUGGAGGAAUACCGAUGGCGAAGGCAGCCCCCUGGGAUAACACUGACGCUCAUGCACGAAAGCGUGGGGAGCAAACAGG
rnacentral:rRNA from 1 species